rnacentral:rRNA from 1 species
ACGGGUGAGUAACGCGUGGGAACGUGCCUUCUGGUUCGGAAUAACUCAGGGAAACUUGAGCUAAUACCGGAUACGCCCUUUUGGGGAAAGGUUUACUGCCGGAAGAUCGGCCCGCGUCUGAUUAGCUAGUUGGUGGGGUAAUGGCCUACCAAGGCGACGAUCAGUAGCUGGUCUGAGAGGAUGAUCAGCCACACUGGGACUGAGACACGGCCCAGACUCCUACGGGAGGCAGCAGUGGGGAAUAUUGGACGAUGGGCGCAAGCCCGAUCCAGCCAUGCCGCGUGAGUGAUGAAGGCCUUAGGGUUGUAAAGCUCUUUUAUCCGGGACGAUAAUGACGGUACCGGAGGAAUAAGCCCCGGCUAACUUCGUGCCAGCGGCCGCGGUAAUACGAAGGGGGCUAGCGUUGCUCGGAAUCACUGGGCGUAAAGGGCGCGUAGGCGGCGUUUUAAGUUGGGGGUGAAAGCCUGUGGCUCAACCACAGAAUUGCCUUCGAUACUGGGACGCUUGAGUGUGGUAGAGGUUGGUGGAACUGCGAGU